ACCAUUCGGAGGAAGCUUGGGUUUCUAUCCUUCCCGACUGAGCCACAGACCUGAGUCUUGACUCCGGAUAAAUCACCCCAGACUGUUUUUCUGUCUGUGACACGGGAACGGCAGCUUCUGCCUCGCGAGGUGCAGAGAGAAUGAGAAGGGCCGUGUGUGGCGCGCCUGACACGGUCAGCUCGCGGGUGGAGGCCCGGAGCAGAACGCCCUCGGGCGCCCGCCCUUGCAGCCGCACUGGAGACCGGGAAUGGCUCCGGCCACGCCUCUGCCGACUGCGGCAACGCGAGGGACAGCUGGUCUCCGGGGUUGCAGCGUAACGCCCUCCUUCCCGGCCUCAGCUUUCCUGACUGCAUAACGGGCAUACAGUGGGUUCCAUGGCGCAAGGGAGCUGAAGAAGCCGCCCGCCCCCAGCUCGCCCGGGAUCCUCACGCCCCUAUAAGGCCCCGAGGGGCCACGAUGCUGCCCACAGCCCAGAUCGCGAGUGCGGACCCUGCGGGAGGGUCUGGCCUAGAUGCGAGUUUCCCGCCGCAGACCAGGCGAGGCCGCGCGACAUAUCCCCUACCCGCUUACUGCAGGCCGCAGACGGAGACAGUGCAGCCCUGCGCACUGCUGAGGUUGCCCGAGGUCUCGGCCUCGGCGGGUCGGGAACACGCGGCGCGCGCCUGCGCCCCAACCGGAAGUCCGCCACCGGCCGCUCUAGCACGCGCAGGGCUGCGUCGGUGGCCUUAACCCUUCCCAAGGCUGCGCCGCCCGCCUUUGUCUCCGCGGAGCGUCACAAAGGUUGGAAGGGUCGCGGGGCCUCUGGGUGCCGAGCUGCAGAUGCCUCCACUGCGAGCACAGCCCUGAGACAGGGCCCAGGCGCCCAGCGGGGCUGGUUUCACUCGGUCCAGCCGCACCUACCCGUGCCCUCACCAGAUCUUAAGAUACAGACAUUAAAACCCCCACCGGGCCGCGGCACAGGACAGCAGUUUUACUUUCUGUUUUUGGCAUUGCAUUGCCUCCAUUUCCUAGAGUGCACGUAAUAAAUACCGCUGGUGAUUCCAAAAUAUAAAGGUUGAAAAUAUUUACUUUACAAAAAUUUGGUUCCCAUACUGCUUUUAAGGCCAUCCUCUGCACUUGGUUCCCGCUGCUCCUGAUGUGGUUGAAAGAUGGAUGACCCCAAAGACGAGGAAAAGAUUAUUGGCUCCAUUUUUUAGAUGCGGCAGCCAGCUAAGGUCUAGACAGGGGAAGGGACUUGCCCCAAAUCACAGUUAGAGCAAAUCAGUCUGAAUCAGGAAUAACUCCAUUCCUAUCCCGCAUCCUGCCCUUUCACUACGCCACAGCUGCCUGGCUGCCUGGAGGAACAAAGGAGGGCCGGGCAAGAACGCCAUUACCAACUGCAAAUCCACAGGCAAAUGCAAGAGGACGGAAAGCGCUGCGAAUACGAGUGGGUCUCCACCACCAGAAUGGCUAAAGUGAAAAAGACCGCACCGUGUGGAGGCGAGAAAGUAGAGCGACUGGACCUCUCUUGUAUUUCUGGGGGAGUGUAAAUUGGUAGAGACAUUUUGGAAAACUGGCAGUUUUCUAAUGAAGCCGAACAUAUGCCACCUCUGUGAUCCAGCAGUUCCACUCCUAGGCUGUCAACACCCAGCAGAAAUGUGUAGGUGUGAGCAUCAAGAGGGUGCAUGGGAAUGUUCAGAGCCCUUUCAUAACAGCCCCAAACUGGAAAUAACCCAUCAACAGAAUGGAAAAUGAAUGAUGCCCUACUCACUACCAUGCACAUAGACACAGCAACGGGAUUGACAUGCCCGGCUACACACAGCAACAUAGACAAGUCGCAUGAUGAAAUCUUGAGUGACAGAAGCCAAAUACAACAGUACAUACUAGAUGGUUCCAGGUGUAUUACGUUCAGAACCAGACAAAACUAAUUUAUAGUUCACCAAAGUCAAGAUAGUGGUCGCCCUUAGGGUUGGGAGGGGACGAGGGGAGAGCUUCUGGGAGCUGAUCCAGUUCUGUUGUGUAAUCUGGUGCUGGUUCCCUGGGCAUAUGUAUUCUGUGAAAAUCCAUCACAUGACUUAAAUAAAAUGUACACUACUUAAAUAAAA